UACGGAGGGUGCAAGCGUUAUCCGGAUUCACUGGGUUUAAAGGGUGUGUAGGCGGGCUGUUAAGUCAGUGGUGGAAAUCUCCGGGCCUCAACCCGGAAACUGCCAUUGAUACUAUCAGUUCUUGAAUUCUGGUUGAGGUGGGCGGAAUAUGUCAUGAUAGCGGUGAAAUGCUAGAUAUGACAAUAGAACACCAAUUGCGAAGGCAGCUCACUAAGCAGAUAAUUGACGCUGGAGGCAACGAAAGCGUGGGGAUCAAACAGG
rnacentral:rRNA from 1 species